AUGGCACCCUAUUGCCCUUUAAGGUGCACUACUUCUGAUCAGCGCCCAUAAGGAUAUAUUCAGACCAAUACACACAUUCACUCAUUUCACAAUGUUAUUGUCUACUUACUUUAUUUAUUGAACUUGUUUUCACAUACAGAAUCAUUGUUUUUUCUUAUGAUGUAAUAACUUUUGUAUAACGUGUUAUGAAUAUCAAUAUUGCACACCAGUGUAAUGGACAUGGGAGAGGGAGAAAAGAGCCACAGAGAUCUUCCAGAAGUCUGUCAGUGGUCGAUGUAAAUGUUUUGAAACAGUGUUAGCCGCCGCCUCCUCCCCAACAGAAACCAAUGACUUCCGCUCAGUCUCACAUCCUUUUCUUCAUUUACUUUGUUUUACUGAUGUGAUUCAAUAAAACAAUAAUGGGUGUGUAUCCAGUAACUCUCCUUCCACUAUUUGUUUUGUGCAUUGAUCAUUUAAUAAUUAUUAUUUUUUUAAAUUGUGCCCCUCAAUAAAUUAGACUACUGUUCAUUUCAAUGCUGUUUACAUGGGAAUAUGUGAACAUUGAUAGGCCUACUACUGUAUAUUUCAGGUUCCUCUGUGGUUGUGGGCGUGUAUUGACGUUUGGUUUAGUGAGAUUUGAACGCUUCCUGGUUUAACACAUUGUAAUAGUUAUAUUACAUACUGUACUGUACCUGACCUGGAGGCUAUAAGUAGCCUAUUAUACCGUGUUAGAAAUAGCACCAAAUCGGACACCGAAUAGGUAGGUGAGAAUAAAAAAAUACGCCGUAUUUUGAUACACUUGAACCGUACUUUUUGUUUUCUUGGUUUCUGUAAGCGCUUCGUUCCCCCCUUUCCUCCACUUUUGACAGAACGCCCCGAGCGCACUUUUAAUGAUGCGUAACUGACGCGCGGUCAUCAACGGACAUUCUUCCUGAAUUCACUUCUCAACAUGCGGACCACCUGUUUUAUGGCCGUGAUCUUGUGGCUCACAACUGGUUCAUCUCGUUGUCAAACACCAAUUCCCAAUGUUCACGGAGGGUUAGGUGCAGUUCUGGGGGUGUCCAAUGCCAGCGUCCUCCUGCAAGACCUCAGCUCUGAGACACUCUACCUGGGAGCCAGAGGCUCCAUCCUGGCCCUGCACACCUCCAACCUCACCUGGAAACACCCAUCAAUUAAGUGGGAGGCAACAGAAGAGGAGAGGAAGUCCUGUAUGGGUAAAGGCAAGAGAGAGGUGAGCAACGUGGGGUGCUCUUGAUCUGUGUGUGUGUGUGUGUGUCUGUGUGUGUGUGUGUGUCUGUGUCUGUGUGUGUCUGUGUGUGUGUGUGUGUCUGUGUGCUGCUCUGUAGUGUAUGCACGUGGUUAAAGGUGUCGGUGAGAUGCCAUGCUUCACACCCAUCACCUUUGCCUUUUGUCAUACUCAUCUAUGUCAUGAUGUAUGAUACCGUUACCAUAACGACUGCUUUACUGACUCUUCAGCUUCCUGUCAACAACACAUCACAUCCUGAAUGUUUGGCUUUCAGAUGACUUUUCACUUUGUAUCUGGUCAUCUUCAAAGACUGAUAAACAGAAGCAUGACUUACCUUAAAUAGUCAGGGAGUUAAGAGUUCUUCGCUACCGUUUAUUCAAUGGGAGUAAUAUGAAAACCAACCUUGGCCUGUACACAUUGUGUUCCUGGCACCUGAGUUGAGAAACCCUGCAUUGUACUUCUGAUUAUAACCAUAUUUUAUAUCUUUAGAGCCAGGUUCUCCUGAUCUAGGAUCAUGCUAUCUACCCCAAAUCCUAACCUUAGCCAUUAUGGUGAGGAAUGUAAACUGACCUGAGAUCUGUGUCUAGAGGCAACUUUAUCCUGCUCUGUUAUGGCCCUGUGGUAAGAAGGAGUUGCCAAACGCGCUUCAGCCUAGCUUAAACUAAAAGGCAAUCAGGGACUUGAAAAUCCCCAAAAUAUUCCUUAUCCCAGGGCACUUGAACUGUUUCCGCAUAUCAAAUCAAAUCAAAAUGAUUUAUAUAGCCCUUCUUACAUCAGCUGAUAUCUCAAAGUGCUGUACAGAAACCCAGCCUAAAACCCCAAACAGCAAGCAAUGCAGGUGUAGAAGCACAGUGGCUAGGAAAACUCCCUAGAAAGGCAAAGACCAAGGAUGAAACCUAGAGAGGCUAUGAGGGGUGGCCAGUCCUCUUCUGGCUGUGCCGGGUGGAGAUUAUAACAGAACAUGGCCAAGAUGUUCAAAUGUUCAUAAAUGACCAGCAUGGUCAAAUAAUAAUAAUCACAGUAGUUGUCGAGGGUGCAGCAAGUCAGCACCUCAGGAGUAAAUGUCAGUUGGCUUUUCAUGGCCGAUCAUUAAGAGUAUCUCUAUCGCUCCUGCUGUCUCUAGAUAGUUGAAAACAGCAGGUCUGGGACAGGUAGCACGUCCAGUGUACAGGUCAGGAUUCCAUAGCCGCAGGCAGAACAGUUGAAACUGGAGCAGCAGCACGGCCAGGUGGACUGGGGACAGCAAGGAGUCAUCAUGCCAGGUAGUCCUAAGGCAUGGUCCUAGGGCUCAGGUCCUCCGAGAGAGAGAAAGAAAGAGAGAAUUAGAUAGAGCAUACUUAAAUUCACACAGGACACCGGAUAAGACAGGAGAAGUACUCCAGAUAUAACAGACUGACCCUAGCCCCCCGACACAUAAACUACUGCAGCAUAAAUACUGGAGGCUGAGACAGGAGGGGUCAGGAGACACUGUGGCCCCAUCCGAUGAUACCCCCGGACAGGGCCAAACAGGCAGGAUAUAACCCCACCCACUUUGCCAAAGCACAGCNNNNNNNNNNAGAGUUCUUCGCUACCGUUUAUUCAAUGGGAGUAAUAUGAAAACCAACCUUGGCCUGUACACAUUGUGUUCCUGGCACCUGAGUUGAGAAACCCUGCAUUGUACUUCUGAUUAUAACCAUAUUUUAUAUCUUUAGAGCCAGGUUCUCCUGAUCUAGGAUCAUGCUAUCUACCCCAAAUCCUAACCUUAGCCAUUAUGGUGAGGAAUGUAAACUGACCUGAGAUCUGUGUCUAGAGGCAACUUUAUCCUGCUCUGUUAUGGCCCUGUGGUAAGAAGGAGNNNNNNNNNNNNNNNNNNNNNNNNNNNNNNNNNNNNNNNNNNNNNNNNNNNNNNNNNNNNNNNNNNNNNNNNNNNNNNNNNNNNNNNNNNNNNNNNNNNNAGGUGAGGGCCCUCGGUGGUGUCUGGAAAAUAACCUCUCACUCAACGUCAACAAAGCAAAGGAGAUGAUCGUGGACUUCAGGAAACAG
rnacentral:lncRNA from 13 species